rnacentral:rRNA from 1 species
CCCCCAAUAAUGGGGGACU